UCUUUGGUAGUAUAUCGGUUAGUACACGCGCCUGUCAUAAAGGCAUCCUGGCGCACUAUAAACGCGCGAAAGCUGGGUUCGACUCCCAGCCAGAGAG